rnacentral:rRNA from 1 species
UUGGUAGCCUUGCUAUGGUAUAACUUAGUGGCAGACGGGUGAGUAAUGUAUAGGAAUCUACCUAGUAGUACGGAAUAAUUGUUGGAAACGACAACUAAUACCGUAUACGCCCUACGGGGGAAAAAUUUAUUGCUAUUAGAUGAGCCUAUAUUAGAUUAGCUAGUUGGUGGGGUAAUAGCCUACCAAGGUAAUGAUCUAUAGCUGAUCUGAGAGGAUGAUCAGCCACACUGGAACUGAGAUACGGUCCAGACUCCUACGGGAGGCAGCAGUGGGGAAUAUUGGACAAUGGGCGAAAGCCUGAUCCAGCCAUGCCGCAUGAGUGAAGAAGGCCUUUGGGUUGUAAAGCUCUUUUAGUGAGGAAGAUAAUGACGGUACUCACAGAAGAAGUCCUGGCUAACUCCGUGCCAGCAGCCGCGGUAAUACGGAGAGGGCUAGCGUUAUUCGGAAUUAUUGGGCGUAAAGGGCGCGUAGGCUGGUUAAUAAGUUAAAAGUGAAAUCCCGAGGCUUAACCUUGGAAUUGCUUUUAAAACUAUUAAUCUAGAGAUUGAAAGAGGAUAGGGGAAUUCCUGAUGUAGAGGUAAAAUUCGUAAAUAUUAGGAGGAACACCAGUGGCGAAGGCGUCUAUCUGGUUCAAAUCUGACGCUGAAGCGCGAAGGCGUGGGGAGCAAACAGGAUUAGAUACCCUGGUAGUCCACGCUGUAAACGAUGAAUGUUAAAUAUGGGGAGUUUACUUUCUGUAUUACAGCUAACGCGUUAAACAUUCCGCCUGGGGACUACGGUCGCAAGAUUAAAACUCAAAGGAAUUGACGGGGACCCGCACAAG